rnacentral:rRNA from 1 species
GACGGACUGAAGGCUCUUUCUCGAUUCCGUGGAAAGUGGUGCAUGGCCGUUUUUGGUUGGUGGAUCGAUCCGUCUGGUUAAUUCCGUUAACGAACGAGACCUCGGCACUCCGAAUAGCGCGGCGGACGUCGCGGCCUCCGGGCCGUCUUCCGCACGAGCUUCUUAGAGGGACCGUCCCCCGCCGGGGAAGGAGGUGCGAGGCAACGACAGGUCUGUGAUGCCCUUAGAUGUUCUGGGCCGCACGCGCAUUACACUGACGCGUCCAACGGGUGACUCCCGACCCGAAGGGGCCGGGGAAUCCGCAAGGCGCGUCGUGAUGGGGAUUGAACGUUGCAAUUGUUGUUCACGAACGAGGAAUUCCUAGUAGGCGCGGGUCAUCAACCCGCGCCGAUUACGUCCCUGCCCUUUGUACACACCGCCCGU